GAUGAGUGCUCAGCAGUAGGAUCAGAUUGCAAACUCUUUUAAGGCCAGUCAAAAGUGGCAGGUGAUGCUGAAGUUGACCACGCCCACACUGACACUCCCCACGCCUAUAAAAACCACCAGGCCAGCCUGCAUGACUCCUCCUCGCUCUCUACCCCGCCAGGCCGGCCUGCCAGACUGGCAAAGUCACACACAGAGUAUACUAGGGUGGGCUUGUAUUUUCUUCAGCAUUUUCUUCAUCAGCUUUCAGACUGUGACUCUGUUCAGAUGGUAGCGGGGUGAAAAGGCCAUGGCUCGGGUGACGAGGUCCUUGAUGAUCUUUGGGGGCCAAGCCUAAUUUCCGUUACAACUUCGUCUCCCCUACCACUCUGCUACUACCGGCGUUGGAGGUUUAUGUGCUACAUUAGUAAGACUGGUUCUACUCAUGACAUCGAGAGGCUAUGAUUUUGACUUCAAACCCCUGUGCACAAGGAAAUACCAU
rnacentral:lncRNA from 1 species